rnacentral:rRNA from 1 species
CCUACGGGUGGCAGCAGUGGGGAAUAGUGGGCAAUGGGCGAAAGCCUGACCCAGCAACGCCGCGUGAAGGAAGACGGCUUUCGGGUUGGAAACUUCUUUUGACAGGAAAGAGAAGAAGACGGUACGUGUCGAAUAAGCCACGGCUAACUACGUGCCAGCAGCCGCGGUAAUACGUAGGUUGCAAGCGUUGUCCGGAUUUACUGGGUUAAAAGGGCGUGUAGCCGGGCUGACAAGUCAGAUGUGAAAUACGCGGGCUUAACACCAGAACUGCAUUUGAAAAUGUUGGUCUUGAGUGUCGGAGAGGCAGGCGGAAUUCCUAGUGUAGCGGUGAAAUGCGUAGAGAUUAGGAAGAACACCAAUUGCGAAGGCAGCCUAC